UACGGAGGAUGCAAGUGUUGUCCGGAAUCAUUGGGCGUAAAGGGUCCUGAGGUGGUUUGCUCAGUCCACUGUGAAAGUUCAGGGCUUACCCUUGAAAAUGCGGUGGAAACUAGUAGGCUAGAGUACGGUGGGGGCAGAGGGAAUUCCCGAUGUAGCGGUGAAAUGCAUAGAUAUCGGGAAGAACACCGAUGGCGAAGGCACUCUGCUGGGCCGACACUGACACUGAAAGACGAAAGCCAGGGGAGCGAAUGGG
rnacentral:rRNA from 1 species